rnacentral:misc_RNA from 1 species
AUGCUAUAGACACUGCUAUAGUUGGGAUGCUUGCUGAUCCUAAGGAGGCGAGGGCUGGUAUUCAGGAGGUUCACUUUUUACCCUUCAAUCCGACUGACAAGAGGACUGCAUUAACCUACAUUGAUGGUGAUGGAAAGAUGCACCGAGUGAGCAAGGGCGCGCCAGAACAAAUUCUGAAUCUUGCACAUAAUAAAUUAGAGAUUGAGCGCAGAGUCCAUACAGUAAUUGAUAAGUUUGCCGAGCGAGGGCUUCGGUCACUUGCUGUAGCAUAUCAAGAAGUUCCGGAAGGAAGGAAGGAAAGCCCGGGAGGUCCAUGGCAAUUUAUCGGACUUCUGCCGCUCUUUGAUCCCCCAAGACACGAUAGUGCAGAGACUAUACGGAGGGCGCUCAACCUAGGAGUCAGCGUCAAGAUGAUUACUGGUGAUCAAUUGGCAAUUGGGAAGGAAACUGGACGCCGUUUGGGGAUGGGUACAAAUAUGUAUCCUUCA